UUACACUGAAAAAGGUUUAAUUGAUCUCUCAAGAUUUCUGUCAUUGUAUGGUUAUGGUUCUUUUUUUUUUAUUCCACAUGAUUGUAUAUGCUAACUAUGGUGAAUCUUUCUCAUCUUUGCUACAUCAAAAAAGACAAAAUUGCAGUUACAGGAUUUCUGAUUUAGUGCUUUGGUUACUGAGAAUUAAGUUUCUUCCUGGCCCUUACUCUGGAUUAAACCGUUGAUCCUUAGCUGAAGAGGCUAAGUUGUAUUAACAGAUUUACAUGCUCUCACCAAUUUAGAUACUUAUGUAGAUGAAUCCUUUUGUUUUAGGUAGGGUUCAUAUGCUGAGGGGUCCCAAGAAAGCAGCAAGUUAGCACUAUUAAAGGAAUUCAGAAGUGAAGGAUCAAAAAUAAAGGAUAAUGAUCAAUCAUUCGCUUUGUUAUGUCUGGCCUCACCCUCACUCCAUUUGGGAAAGCCCAGUGUAUCAUCCUUGACACAAUACUUCUGAACUUGCCCAGCUGACUUUUCUUUGUAAUCUCAAGUGAAAAUCUGGUGGUAUUGAAUUCCACAAAUUAUUUUUGUCCAACUCUUGGACGGUUUUGAAAAGUCAAAUUGCUAUAUGAGUGGUGAGUGAUGACAUUCAAGUCCUCAUUUUUUAAGUUUGUAUUCGUUGCUUACUUUUCUGCAGUUCGCUGUCUAAACUUUUCUUCAGUAUUAUAUAAUACAAUACAAUUUAUUGACCUGAUCUCUUAGCCUUGAAAUGCAGUUAUUAAUUAUAUUUGUUUUAUA
rnacentral:lncRNA from 1 species